CAGAGAGAAAGUUCAGCAGGCACCAUGAACAAGGCACCCUCUUAAGAUUCUAGAACCCCUUGUGUCUGAAGGAUUCCAUCCCCAUAAAAUUAGUGGAGAAAGGGAGAGGGAUCUGUGGGAGCAGCUGCUGCCUUGGUUGUUGAGUAAAGGGUCACUGUACUAGAAGAAAGCAACAAGUACUCAGCUCUGGUGAAUUCAAUUACUAAAAGCCAGCACAUGAUACUUGUUAUCUCAGGAUCUGAGAUUUUACAUCUUAGGAAAUCAGAAGUUGGGUUUUGAUGCAACUUCAAAAGGUAAAUUUCUCCUAUCAUCAGUAAUCACAAGUCAGCAAUUUUAACAUAUUUGACCAGUUAGAGCCCAUGGUGUUUUGACCAUUUAAAACCAUAAUCACAUGAACUGUACCUAUCAUCACCAUUAUCUCCAGGACUUCUGAUUCCUAUCACAGAGGUGUUCUGCCAAGAACACAUCAGUCCAGGGCAACAAAGGAACCCAGAGGGAAAGGGUGUCCUGAACAUUCUGGGAACCCGAAAGUCUACGGAGGUACAGUGACUCAGUGUUCGAGACUUCUAGGAUGGGCAGGAGGUGCAGGAGAGUGAUAUGAGGAAGAAGAGGACAUCAUCAUAAACCUCUUUUCGGUCCCUCUCGGGGACCACAGCCCAGACCUCCAGCUCCCCAAAGGUGCCAUCGGAUCUCUGCCCUAUUCAUCAGGCCUUUCUUUCCCCCAAUUGAUUAAAUUCAAUCCAAAAAGCAGUUAUUGAAUCUCACAUCAGAUACCUUCCAUUUCUUAUCCUAGAGGCCUUUCAGUUUCUCCUCCUGUAUCCCAUGACAGUCUACUACUUUCCUAACUUCAGCCCCCAUGAGCCUCAGUGAUGAGCUGGGAUUUCUCAGAUGGCCCAGGUACCCUCAUGAACAAGGCCUGGCUGCCUCUGCCCAG